GACGUAGGGCGCGAGCGUUGUCCGGAUUUAUUGGGCGUAAAGAGCUCGUAGGCGGCUUGUCGCAUCGACUGUGAAAACCCGCGGCUCAACUGCGGGCCUGCAGUCGAUACGGGCAGGCUAGAGUUCGGUAGGGGAGACUGGAAUUCCUGGUGUAGCGGUGAAAUGCGCAGAUAUCAGGAGGAACACCGGUGGCGAAGGCGGGUCUCUGGGCCGUAACUGACGCUGAGGAGCGAAAGCGUGGGGAGCGAACAGG
rnacentral:rRNA from 1 species